rnacentral:rRNA from 1 species
AAGAGAUCGGGAUAACACCUGGAAACAGAUGCUAAUACCGGAUAACAACAGAUGAUGCCUAUCAACUGUUUAAAAGAUGGUUCUGCUAUCACUCUUGGAUGGACCUGCGGUGCAUUAGCUAGUUGGUAGGGUAACGGCCUACCAAGGCGAUGAUGCAUAGCCAAGUUGAGAGACUGAUCGGCCACAUUGGGACUGAGACACGGCCCAAACUCCUACGGGAGGCAGCAGGC